GAUGAACGCUGGCGGCGUGCCUAAUACAUGCAAGUCGAGCGAACAGACGAGGAGCUUGCUCCUCUGACGUUAGCGGCGGACGGGUGAGUAACACGUGGAUAACCUACCUAUAAGACUGGGAUAAUUUCGGGAAACCGGAGCUAAUACCGGAUAAUAUAUUGAACCGCAUGGUUCAAUAGUGAAAGGCGGUUUUGCUGUCACUUAUAGAUGGAUCCGCGCCGCAUUAGCUAGUUGGUAAGGUAACGGCUUACCAAGGCAACGAUGCGUAGCCGACCUGAGAGGGUGAUCGGCCACACUGGAACUGAGACACGGUCCAGACUCCUACGGGAGGCAGCAGUAGGGAAUCUUCCGCAAUGGGCGAAAGCCUGACGGAGCAACGCCGCGUGAGUGAUGAAGGUCUUCGGAUCGUAAAACUCUGUUAUUAGGGAAGAACAAAUGUGUAAGUAACUAUGCACGUCUUGACGGUACCUAAUCAGAAAGCCACGGCUAACUACGUG
rnacentral:rRNA from 1 species